AUUGAACGCUGGCGGCAUGCCUUACACAUGCAAGUCGAACGGCAGCACGGGAGCAAUCCUGGUGGCGAGUGGCGAACGGGUGAGUAGUACAUCGGAACGUGCCUAGUAGUGGGGGAUAGCCCGGCGAAAGCCGGAUUAAUACCGCAUACGACCUGAGGGUGAAAGCGGGGGAUCGCAAGACCUCGCGCUAUCAGAGCGGCCGAUGCCAGAUUAGGUAGUUGGUGGGGUAAAAGCCUACCAAGCCGACGAUCUGGAGCUGGUCUGAGAGGACGACCAGCCACACUGGGACUGAGACACGGACCAGACUCCUACGGGAGGCAGCAGUGGGGAAUUUUGGACAAUGGGCGCAAGCCUGAUCCAGCCAUGCCGCGUGCAGGAAGAAGGCCUUCGGGUUGUAAACUGCUUUUGUCAGGGAAGAAAAGUUCUGGGCUAAUACCCCGGAGCGAUGACGGUACCUGAAGAAUAAGCACCGGCUAACUACGUGCCAGCCGCCGCGGUAA
rnacentral:rRNA from 1 species